UGGCUCAACAGUCAAAGACAGGUUUAUUUUGGAGAAUAAACCUGAGAGGGGCUUCUGGCUGAUUUCAGUCAGGAGCAUUCUCUCUUGCAGACUAAGGAUAUUUAAGGGUUUAGGAAGAGGGAAGCUUUUUGUAGGUUUGGAAUGUUUCCAUGUGAAGGAAAGUUUACUGCGGGUUUGGAAUGUCUCUGGUCGGAGGGGAGGCUGUCUCGGGGUCGGCAUAUUUCUGGCCAGAGGGGUGUUUAUCUUAGGGUUGGAAUGUUUCUGAUUAUGCUGACAAUAGCCAUUAGGCUGAUGUUUUGGGGCUGGAUUUAGGCAGUUUUUAAAUAAAAGAGAACUUAAAAUGGUGGUGUUUGUCCAAGAUGGUGAUGUUCCUGCUGUCAAUUAGCAUAAACAAAAGAGAAUUCUGAUACCCUGUUGGAAUGUCCUCAUUCCUCUGAGCUUCUCCACUCACAGGAUAAAUGCAGGAGUGGCUUCCCCUCAUGGACACCUGCAAAUGCAGAGUGUGGGGGCUCUCCUGGCCCUGCAUCACUAGCAAGAGCAAAAGCUGCUCCGAGUCUUGUUUUUAGAACCUGGUCGACAGCUGGAGCAGAAUUGAUGCCUAUGGAAGGGCAGAAAGCUCUGUACUGUGUCUCCUAAAAGGUUUGGGGAAACUAAAUCUAGAAACUUUCUCUCUUAACUUUCGUGAAACUCCUGAACAAAGCUUAGGAGAGGAGGUAUGAGAACUUGAAAUCGACAUUUAGUCACAGAAAAAUAGAAGUUCUUUUUUUGUACCCUUCAAUUUCAUGAUCUGUGAAAACAUCACAUAUUCGGUUUGCAAACUAUAUCUUCAACCAGCUUAAGAAACAAAGAACCUCCAGUUUCCUUGGACAACUUCUUAGGAGAGGAGGAGAGAUUGUAAAGCAACAAUAACAACAAAUUUCUCAGCUAAGAAAGUCUCAAAGUUCCCGCUUUCUACAAGAUUGUUCUUGUUUUAGAAAGGAAGACUGGAUCAUGUAGCAAUGACUGCUGGUGACCUAUUCAAUGUCCACCAAUAUUCUUCUGUAUUACCGAAACUCUGCUUCUUUUGGAGUAUCAAUACACUUCAUUUUCCAGCUUUUGUUGCAACCAGCACAGCCAUGUAACCAGUUCUAGCCAUCAGGAUGUGAGCAGCCCUUCUGGCAGGGCUGUCUCAUAGGAGAUGACAGCAUGAAACUGCCAUAAUCAUCACAGACUGCUUUGCUCUGGACUUCGUUGUGAGUAGGUCUAUAGAUAUAGAGGUGAUUUUUUUAUACUGACCUUACAUGCGGAGACUGCGUAAAGAGACAUUAAAUUUAAGUUGUUUGCAGAUUCUUUUGGAUUUUUCUUCAUAUAGAGACAGUUCAUCUGUGUCUAAUUCACCCAACAACAUUUUUGAUGCAUGAUGCAUAUGGUGCUAAAUGCUGGGAAUGCAAACCUGAGUAAGCAUUAGAGAUAAAAGGUAAAACCAGAAAUCCAGUGGACAGCCAUCUGAAACCCGUUCAGCCUGAAGCACUUUUUUCUAGACUCAAGAGCAUCGUUGUAUCAAUAGAAAAGGGCAAAGAUGGUGAAACAAAGUCAUGUAUAUCCAUCCAUGUGCUUUCUCAAGCUUUUUAUGGGUAUUUUCUACAACUUAGAUGUGCCUUGUCCUCACCAAAACCCAUGUGGAAGUUUCAUUGCAAGAGACAGUGUUGGGAAGUGGGGCCCAGUGGGAGGUGUUUGGGUCAUAGGGGUGGAUUCCUCACGAUAAAUUGGUGCCGUUCUCAGGAUAGUGAGUGAGUUCUUACUCUUGCAAGACUGGAUUAGUUCUUGCAGAGAUGGAUUAGUUCCCUCAAGAGUAGGUUGGUAUAAAACAUGUCACCCUCCUUGGUCCCUUCCUUUUCACACAUGCCUACCCCAGUUUUGACCUUCUGUUAUGUUAUGACACAGCAGGAAAGCCCUGGCCAGAAGCCAGCGCCAUGCCCUUGAAAUUUCCCACCUGCAGAACCAUGAGCUCAAUAGACCUCAUUUCUUUCUAAACGACCCAGUCUCAGAUACUCUGUUAUAGCAACACUAAAUUGACUAAGACAGUGUUAUUUUGUAGAAGUAAUGUAAUCCCUCUGAAAAGAACAUGGGAUUCAGAGAAAAAUGCCACAGCUCUUAGUCCAGUUUUGCCAUGACCUAGUAGAAUGAGAUUGCUGAUGCUAAAAAUGUUGAAAUAAAAUCAUAGUAUAAAGGUCCUUGUCUAUUUCAAAUCAAUAGGAGUACUUGAAGAUUCUCCCUGCUUACAAUGUAAACAUCAUGAAGAAAGAGAUGUGUUGGACUUGUUCAUCGCUAUAUUUCCUGGCUCAGAUCCUGGCACUGAGUAGACAUCAAGAAAUAUUUAAAUGAAUGAAAGAAUGAAUGAAUGAAUGAACGAACUGUGUCCUCUUGUAGAGCUGAGGGUGUUUUACCACUACCCUAAGAGCUGACACCAGGAGGUCUUGCUGCAAAGCCAGGCACUGUAUUCCACACUGUAUUUCCAUCAUCGCUUUUAAUGAGACUUCUUUGCAAAUAUGUAUGGUAUCUUUUAAAAUACCUGAUAACCAGCCAGCAGGGGUGGUCAGCUGCUACACUGGUAGCCACAAACAGAAUCCAAGACACAGAACUUCAUACGGUGUCACAGCUUCAUUUUCCAGGCUACAGCUCCCACUGCCCACAUCAGAACCAUCUGCAGGUCCAUAAGCUGUGAGUUUCUUUGGGAGUUGGGGGAGUGUCUUUUGGAUGUUUAUAACUUAUGCAUCUUAAUAUUGAAUGUGCACUUAAUACAUGGAACUUCAUAGUACUUGAUUUUUUAUGCAAAAAUGACUUAAUUAAAAUUUCUUGAAGAAACAUCGGAGCUUCAACAGUCAGGAUUCCUAUUAACACUGUGAUUGUGUUCCUUUGGUGGACCUUGGAAGUGUUCAAACAAUCUCAAGUACAUAUGCAAGUUAGCUGAGGGAAGAGCUGUUUUUCAUUCCUGUGAGACAGCUCUCUGAAUGAAUUCAGUUUGUCUAGACAGACUGUAAAUCCACUGGGUAAUUAUCUCACCUCCCAUCACUAUGGAGUAAAAAAUAAAUAAAGAGCGUUAGAAACUUCCCUUUUACCAUUUAUUAAUUAUAUUAUUCUCUGUUUAGCAACAGAGAGAUAUGUACAGAAGCCACAAAAGCUCUAGAUAAUUACAUUUUCCAAUUACAAGAGUUUCAGUUUUUGAGACUAUGACAUCAGAAUAUUUCAGAAUAAGUCUUCAGUUUAGAACCAGGGUUACGAUUCUUUUUAAAGAGGAUUACUUUAUAUGUAUUUCUGUGUUGCUUUGAAGGAUCCCUGAGUAAUUUCUAUGCAUGUGUCACAGGUUUUUUUUUUCUUGUCCUUCCUUCCUGGUGUCUGACUGGCCCCCGCCACUGCCCCAAGUAACCACUCCCGCCCCGAGAUUACUGGGUCUAAAUGGCACAGGUGUUCUCCUUUUAUCCCGAUUACCCUUGAAAGGAUAGGGAGAAAACAUUAGAAAUCAUGUCCCACGUAGGGUCAAGGCUGCCAUGAGCUUAAGGCAGGAAGUUAAGUAAACAUUGGAGACCAAAGUCAGAUUUCUAAAUCCUUUAGUCAUUUGGCUGACAAUAUCUAAGGAUCAGUUACAUGCAUGAGAGAGUCAAUACAGAAUUUAGAAAUUGCUUAAGAAAUUAACAACAACCCGAUCCCGGCUGCAGUGGAGUCUGAAGUCCCGCAGUUGGUCUGUCUUAUUCCCUGGGGUUCCUAUCCCAGCCCUUACAGAGUGCCCUGGUCCCCAUACCCUCUCCUACCCCAGGCCUUGCAGGACUGCAGGAGAUUAUUUAUGCAGCUGAAUCAAGAUGCUGACUUCAGCACCGUAAAACCCGGCUAGCAGGGAGUCCAAGCCUAAGGGCUGUUUUGCUGACAGUUUUAUAAGGUUCAGUAAAUGCCAACGGCCCCCUCCUCCUUUCUUUGUGUGGCUUGAAUUUCGGGGUCUUGCAGGCUGGAGAGUGGGGGCUCUGCAGUCGGCGCUGGGAGGCUCACAGAGGAGCUACCCAAAUGAAUGAAAGCACAGCACCAUCCUGGAAAGCACAGCGCCGUCC
rnacentral:lncRNA from 1 species